GUUAACUUCAUACUCGCCCCACUCACUUUGAACUUCCUGGUAUAUUGUAAAAACAAGAGCACUUUCAAAACAUGGUGGCAGGGAUCACCAUUUCUUCUCCAAAAUCCACAAUCUUGCAGAAUCCGAUCUCCUUAAAAGAACCAAAUUCUUGUUUUCCCGGCGGUUCCUUGAAGGGUCUUUCUUUACUAUUUAAACCCAGAAAUAAAAUAAGACCCUUCAAGGAACCGCCGGGAAAAC
rnacentral:misc_RNA from 1 species